AUUGAACGCUGGCGGCAGGCUUAACACAUGCAAGUCGAGCGGAGAUGAGGUGCUUGCACCUUAUCUUAGCGGCGGACGGGUGAGUAAUGCUUAGGAAUCUGCCUAUUAGUGGGGGACAACAUUCCGAAAGGAAUGCUAAUACCGCAUACGCCCUACGGGGGAAAGCAGGGGAUCUUCGGACCUUGCGCUAAUAGAUGAGCCUAAGUCGGAUUAGCUAGUUGGUGGGGUAAAGGCCUACCAAGGCGACGAUCUGUAGCGGGUCUGAGAGGAUGAUCCGCCACACUGGGACGUAGACACGGCCCAGACUCCUACGGGAGGCAGCAGUGGGGAAUAUUGGACAAUGGGCGGAAGCCUGAUCCAGUCAUGCCGCGUGUGUGAAGAAGGCCUUUUGGUUGUAAAGCACUUUAAGCGAGGAGGAGGCUACCUGGAUUAAUACUCUAGGAUAGUGGACGUUACUCGCAGAAUAAGCACCGGCUAACUCUGUGCCAGCCGCCGCCGUAACAC
rnacentral:rRNA from 1 species